AGCAUAUCAAUAAGCGGAGGAAAAGAAACCAACAGGGAUUGCCUCAGUAACGGCGAGUGAAGCGGCAAGAGCUCAAAUUUGAAAGCUGGCUCCUUCGGGGUCCGCAUUGUAAUUUGCAGAGGAUGCUUCGGGAGCGGCCCCCAUCUAAGUGCCCUGGAACGGGCCGUCAUAGAGGGUGAGAAUCCCGUAUGGGAUGGGGUGCCCGCGACCAUGUGAAGCUCCUUCGACGAGUCGAGUUGUUUGGGAAUGCAGCUCUAAAUGGGUGGUAAAUUUCAUCUAAAGCUAAAUAUUGGCCGGAGACCGAUAGCGCACAAGUAGAGUGAUCGAAAGAUGAAAAGCACUUUGAAAAGAGAGUUAAAAAGCACGUGAAAUUGUUGAAAGGGAAGCGCUUGCGACCAGACUCGCCCGCGGGGUUCAGCCGGUAUUCGUACCGGUGUACUUCCCCGUGGGCGGGCCAGCGUCGGUUUGGGCGGCCGGUCAAAGGCCCUCGGAAUGUAACGCCUCUCGGGGCGUCUUAUAGCCGAGGGUGCCAUGCGGCCAGCCCGGACCGAGGAACGCGCUUCGGCACGGACGCUGGCAUAAUGGUCGUAAGCGACCCGUCUUGAAACACGGACCAAGGAGUCUAACAUCUACGCGAGUGUUCGGGUGUCAAACCCGUGCGCGCAGUGAAAGCGAACGGAGGUGGGAACCCUUUGGGUGCACCAUCGACCGAUCCUGAUGUCUUCGGAUGGAUUUGAGUAAGAGCGUAGCUGUUGGGACCCGAAAGAUGGUGAACUAUGCCUGAAUAGGGCGAAGCCAGAGGAAACUCUGGUGGAGGCUCGCAGCGGUUCUGACGUGCAAAUCGAUCGUCAAAUUUGGGUAUAGGGGCGAAAGACUAAUCGAACCAUCUAGUAGCUGGUUCCUGCCGA
rnacentral:rRNA from 1 species